rnacentral:rRNA from 1 species
GACAGAGGGUGCAAGCGUUGUCCGGAUUUAUUGGGUUUAAAGGGUGCGUAGGCGGCUUGAUAAGUCCGUGGUGAAAGCCAACAGCUCAACUGUUGAACUGCCAUGGAUACUGUCAGGCUUGAGUACAGACGAGGUAGGCGGAAUUGAUGGUGUAGCGGUGGAAUGCGCAGAUAUCAGGAGGAACACCGAUGGCGAAGGCAGUUCUCUGGGCCGUAACUGACGCUAAGGCGCGAAAGCGUGGGGAGCGAACAGG